rnacentral:rRNA from 1 species
GAUGAACGCUGGCGGCGUGCCUAAUACAUGCAAGUCGAGCGAACGGACGAGAAGCUUGCUUUUCUGAUGUUAGCGGCGGACGGGUGAGUAACACGUGGAUAACCUACCUAUAAGACUGGGAUAACUUCGGGAAACCGGAGCUAAUACCGGAUAAUAUUUUGAACCGCAUGGUUCAAAAGUGAAAGACGGUCUUGCUGUCACUUAUAGAUGGAUCCGCGCUGCAUUAGCUAGUUGGUAAGGUAACGGCUUACCAAGGCAACGAUGCAUAGCCGACCUGAGAGGGUGAUCGGCCACACUGGAAUUGAGACACGGUCCAGACUCCUACGGGAGGCAGCAGUAGGGAAUCUUCCGCAAUGGGCGAAAGCCUGACGGAGCAACGCCGCGUGAGUGAUGAAGGUCUUCGGAUCGUAAAACUCUGUUAUUAGGGAAGAACAUAUGUGUAAGUAACUGUGCACAUCUUGACGGUACCUAAUCAGAAAGCCACGGCUAACUACGUGCCAGCAGCCGCGGUAAUACGUAAGUGGCAAGCGUUAUCCGGAAUUAUUGGGCGUAAAGCGCGCGUAGCGGUUUUUUAAGUCUGAUGUGAAAGCCCACGGCUCAACCGCGGAGGGUCAUUGGAAACUGGAAAACUUGAGUGCAGAAGAGGAAAGUGGAAUUCCAUGUGUAGCGGUGAAAUGCGCAGAGAUGUGGAGGAACACCAGUGGCGAAGGCGACUUUCUGGUCUGUAACUGACGCUGAUGUGCGAAAGCGUGGGGAUCAAACAGGAUUAGAUACCCUGGUAGUCCACGCCGUAAACGAUGAGUGCUAAGUGUUAGGGGGUUUCCGCCCCUUAGUGCUGCAGCUAACGCAUUAAGCACUCCGCCUGGGGAGUACGACCGCAAGGUUGAAACUCAAAGGAAUUGACGGGGGCCCGCACAAGCGGUGGAGCAUGUGGUUUAAUUCGAAGCAACGCGAAGAACCUUACCAAAUCUUGACAUCCUUUGACAACUCUAGAGAUAGAGCCUUCCCCUUCGGGGGACAAAGUGACAGGUGGUGCAUGGUUGUCGUCAGCUCGUGUCGUGAGAUGUUGGGUUAAGUCCCGCAACGAGCGCAACCCUUAAGCUUAGUUGCCAUCAUUAAGUUGGGCACUCUAAGUUGACUGCCGGUGACAAACCGGAGGAAGGUGGGGAUGACGUCAAAUCAUCAUGCCCCUUAUGAUUUGGGCUACACACGUGCUACAAUGGACAAUACAAAGGGCAGCGAAACCGCGAGGUCAAGCAAAUCCCAUAAAGUUGUUCUCAGUUCGGAUUGUAGUCUGCAACUCGACUACAUGAAGCUGGAAUCGCUAGUAAUCGUAGAUCAGCAUGCUACGGUGAAUACGUUCCCGGGUCU